AACGCGUGAUAUUUUGAUUCUUCGACUUUGAUUUAUAAUAAUUUAUAAUUUAAUCUUUUUAAUUUAUUAUAAUUAAAUCUCACAAUUCAAUUUAAUUCACUAAAUAUUAAUAAAUUACUGAAGUACAAAUAUAUGACAUCUUAAUUAUUGUUGCAUUAUUAAUUAUAGUACAAUUACAUAGCUCUUAUAUUAUCAACACAUCAAUAUUUAGUCAAAUAAAUUAAAUUAUAAUAUUUAAUUAUAAAAAUUUGAAAAUUUUAUGUAAAAAUUUUAUUAUAAUUAUAAUUUAAGGAGUAAAUGUCAGUGUUGUAUAAUUUGUGUAACUUAGUUUGUAAAGUUGUAUGGAUGUACAAAAAUUUGGGUAAACUUCAAAUACUAUUUCUAUGGUUUCACAUUUUCUCUUUUUGCUGGUUCCUCCGUUAAUAUUUCGUUAAAUUAUAUAUAAAAAAUUUCAGAUACCUCAUCUAAAUUUAUUCAAUAUUCACUUUAGUAUCUUCUAGUUUUAACUUUGUCACUAAUUUAACGAAAAUAUAUUAGUGAAAAGGAGUCCGGCUACUAUACUCUUAUAAGUAUAGACCCUUUGUUCUUAUAAGUUUUCGGUCGUUAGAUUUAUUAUUUUAAUUAUUUCUAUCCGUUAGAUCAUACUAUUCAACUAAUUACUCAUUCAACCUUAGGGGACCACUAUCAUCCUAAUCAGGAAUCGCAACCACAUAUUUCUUCAUUCAACGACCAUAGUAAUCCUAGCCUACUAAAAAGGAUAAUAAAAAAAUAAAAAUAAAACUAUAAAAUACUAAAUUGAUAAAAUUUUAAACUACAAAAAACUAAAAUAAAAAGUAUGAAAUUAUACGUGAUGGUAUUUGAAAUUUUUCUAAAAUAAAUUUUCGAGGGAGUGAGUUUAAGGCGGUGAGUGUAACGAGGAGGAGG
rnacentral:lncRNA from 1 species